rnacentral:piRNA from 1 species
UUAUCCAGUUAGUGCUGUAAAAGGA